AACGAACGCUGGCGGCAUGCCUAACACAUGCAAGUCGAACGAGAUCUUCCGGUCUAGUGGCGCACGGGUGCGUAACGCGUGGGAAUCUGCCCUUUGGUUCGGAAUAACAGUCGGAAACGACUGCUAAUACCGGAUGAUGACGAAAGUCCAAAGAUUUAUCGCCAGAGGAUGAGCCCGCGUAGGAUUAGCUAGUUGGUGUGGUAAAGGCGCACCAAGGCGACGAUCCUUAGCUGGUCUGAGAGGAUGAUCAGCCACACUGGGACUGAGACACGGCCCAGCCUCCUACGGGGGGCAGCAGUGGGGAAUAUUGGACAAGGGGCGAAAGCCUGAUCCGGCAAUGCCGCGUGAGUGAUGAAGGCCUUAGGGUUGAAAAGCUCUUUUCCCCGGGAUGAUAAUGACAGUACGGGAAGAAUAAGCUCCGGCUAACUCCGUGCCAGCAGCCGCGGUAA
rnacentral:rRNA from 1 species